AUGCGCCACUCGUCCUGCCCAAACGCGUCAAGUGGCUGGGGAUCACGUGGGGCCAUGUGGCCCACUCCACACCACAUCUUAUCUCAUUCGUCUCCCACCACACCUUAUCUCUUUCUUCUUUCUUCUUCCUCCCGUAGUAUCCACUCUUUCUCCACUGCCUUUUCUCUUUCUUUCUCCCGCAACGAACCACUCCGCGAGCUGCUGGUGAUGCACGAGGGGCGGCGAGUUAUGCUACAAGGGGGUACCGGUGCUGCACUCCAGCCACCUCACGGCGAGCCUUCUCUUUUCCCCACCGCUGCCACACCCCCACGCGCAAGUUCGACAAGCAUGAUGAGGCGGCAGCCGCCAUGGAUGUUGUGCUGCAAACGGCAGCGAGAUGCUACAACCACUCGCGAGAAAUGCUACAUCCCACGACAAUUGAGCUUUCGUUUGCUGAGAUUUUUUGCUGGAACCGGCAUUAAUUUUUGCUACUACCGGCGAACUUUUUGCUACAUCCAUCAAGACGGAGCUGCGACCUCGCGACGGCGGCGACAGCGUUUUUGCUGCAACCGUUGUCAGGUUUUGCUACGACCAGAUAAGUUUUUUGCUACAUCCGUUCAAUGGCGUGAUUGGCUGGUGGGAGUCGUCGACGCAAUUCCGUUCAGCGAGCAUCAACGGCGAGGGGCGGCGGCGAAGCUGCAACCGGAGCCGCUGAGAGCUGCAACUGCAGGUGCAGCUGUUGCAUGGGUCGAGGCAGUGACGAGGAGGACCGGCGAGGGUGGGAACCAACGACGAGGAUGGCCGGCGAGGGUGCGGAUCGGCGACGAGGAAGGCCACCGGAGGGGAGAUGAGGCACCGGAGGGGAGCUGCGCGAGAUGGCAGAGAUGCGGGGAUCUGCACGAGCGUGAGAUGCACGAGGAGGAAGAAGAUCUGGGACGAAUCAGUUUUUUUUUCCGCUAG
rnacentral:rRNA from 1 species